AGAGUUUGAUCCUGGCUCAGAUUGAACGCUGGCGGUAUGCUUAACACAUGCAAGUCGAACGGCAGCAUGGUGUGUAGCAAUACACACUGAUGGCGAGUGGCGGACGGGUGAGUAACACGUAGGAAUCUGCCCUAAAGCGGGGGAUAACCCGAGGAAACUCGGGCUAAUACCGCAUAUAUUCUGAGGAAGAAAGCUGGGUUUAGGCCUGGCACUUUAGGAGGAGCCUGCGUCUGAUUAGCUAGUUGGUAGGGUAAAGGCCUACCAAGGCGACGAUCAGUAGGUGGUCUGAGAGGAUGAUCACCCACACUGGGACUGAGACACGGCCCAGACUCCUACGGGAGGCAGCAGUGGGGAAUAUUGGACAGUGGGGGCAACCCUGAUCCAGCAAUACCGCGUGUGUGAAGAAGGCCUUCGGGUUGUAAAGCACUUUAGGCGGGGAAGAAGGUUGGUAG
rnacentral:rRNA from 1 species